rnacentral:rRNA from 1 species
AGAGUUUGGUCAUGGCUCAGGAUGAACGCUAGCGGCGUGCUUAACACAUGCAAGUCGAACGGUGAAAGCGGAGCUUGCUCCGCUGGAUCAGUGGCGAACGGGUGAGUAACACGUGGGCAACCUGCCCCUGACUUCGGGAUAACUCCUCGAAAGAGGAGCUAAUACCGGAUACGAACUCCUUGGGCAUCCUUGGAGUUGGAAAGUUUUUCGGUCAGGGAUGGGCCCGCGGCCUAUUAGUUUGUUGGUGAGGUAACGGCUCACCAAGGCGACGAUAGUUAGGGGCCCUGAGAGGGGGAUCCCCCACACUGGUACUGAGACACGGACCAGACUCCUACGGGAGGCAGCAGUGAGGAAUAUUGGCCAAUGGAGGCAACUCUGAUCCAGCCAUGCCGCGUGCAGGAAGACUGCCCUAUGGGUUGUAAACUGCUUUUAUACGGGAAGAAACCCUCCCACGUGUGGGGGGCUGACGGUACCGUAAGAAUAAGCAUCGGCUAACUCCGUGCCAGCAGCCGCGGUAAUACGGACGAUGCAAGCGUUAUCCGGAAUCAUUGGGUUUAAAGGGUCCGUAGGUGGAUAAUUAAGUCAGGGGUGAAAGUUUGCGGCUCAACCGUAAAAUUGCCUUUGAUACUGGUUAUCUUGAGUUAUUAUGAAGUAGUUAGAAUAUGUAGUGUAGCGGUGAAAUGCAUAGAUAUUACAUAGAAUACCAAUUGCGAAGGCAGAUUACUAACAAUAUACUGACACUGAUGGACGAAAGCGUGGGUAGCGAACAGGAUUAGAUACCCUGGUAGUCCACGCCGUAAACGAUGGAUACUAGCUGUUGGGCCGGCUCAGUGGCUAAGCGAAAGUGAUAAGUAUCCCACCUGGGGAGUACGUUCGCAAGAAUGAAACUCAAAGGAAUUGACGGGGGCCCGCACAAGCGGUGGAGCAUGUGGUUUAAUUCGAUGAUACGCGAGGAACCUUACCAGGGCUUAAAUGCAUAUUGACAGGGGUAGAGAUACCUUUUCCUUCGAGCAAUUUGCAAGGUGCUGCAUGGUUGUCGUCAGCUCGUGCCGUGAGGUGUCAGGUUAAGUCCUAUAACGAGAGCAACCCCUACCGUUAGUUGCCAGCGAGUCAUGUCGGGGACUCUAACGGGACUGCCGGUGCAAACCGUGAGGAAGGUGGGGAUGACGUCAAAUCAUCACGGCCCUUACGUCCUGGGCCACACACGUGCUACAAUGGCCGGUACAGAGAGCAGCCACUUGGCAACAAGGAGCGAAUCUACAAAACCGGUCACAGUUCGGAUCGGGGUCUGCAACUCGACCCCGUGAAGCUGGCAUCGCUAGUAAUCGGAUAUCAGCCAUGAUCCGGUGAACACGUUCCCGGGCCUUGUACACACCGCCCGU